rnacentral:tRNA from 1 species
GCUGGUGUAGCUCAGUUGGUAGAGCAGCUCAUUCGUAAUGAGCAGGUCGUGGGUUCAAGUCCCUUCACCAGCUCCA